CUUAACUGACGCUAAAGCUCGAAAGUGCGGGUAUCGAACAGGAUUAGAUACCCUGGUAGUCCGCACGGUAAACGAUGGAUGCCCGCUGUUGGCGAUAUACUGUCAGCGGCCAAGCGAAAGCGUUAAGCAUCCCACCUGGGGAGUACGCCGGCAACGGUGAAACUCAAAGGAAUUGACGGGGGCCCGCACAAGCGGAGGAACAUGUGGUUUAAUUCGAUGAUACGCGAGGAACCUUACCCGGGCUUGAACUGCAGGCGAACGAUUCAGAGAUGAUGAGGCCCUUCGGGGCGCCUGUGGAGGUGCUGCAUGGUUGUCGUCAGCUCGUGCCGUGAGGUGUCGGCUUAAGUGCCAUAACGAGCGCAACCCCUUUCUCCAGUUGCCAUCAGGUUAAGCUGGGCACUCUGGAGACACUGCCACCGUAAGGUGUGAGGAAGGUGGGGAUGACGUCAAAUCAGCACGGCCCUUACGUCCGGGGCUACACACGUGUUACAAUGGGUGGUACAGAGAGUCGGUCGCUGGCAAUAGCGAUCCAAUCCUAAAAGCCAUCCUCAGUUCGGAUUGGGGUCUGCAACCCGACCCCAUGAAGCUGGAUUCGCUAGU
rnacentral:rRNA from 1 species